GAUUACCUCAGUAACGGCGAGUGAAGCGGUAACAGCUCAAAUUUGAAAUCUGGGUCUUUCAGGCUCCGAGUUGUAAUUUGUAGAAGAUGCUUUGGGUGCGGCCCCGGUCUAAGUUCCUUGGAACAGGACGUCAUAGAGGGUGAGAAUCCCGUAUGUGAUCGGUGGCUUGCGCCCGUGUAAAGCUCUUUCGACGAGUCGGGUUGUUUGGGAAUGCAGCUCUAAAUGGGUGGUAAAUUUCAUCUAAAGCUAAAUAUUGGCCAGAGACCGAUAGCGCACAAGUAGAGUGAUCGAAAGAUGAAAAGGACUUUGGAAAGAGAGUUAAACAGUACGUGAAAUUGUUGAAAGGGAAGCGCUUGCAACCAGACUUGCGCGGGGUUGAUCAUCCGGGGUUCUCCCCGGUGCACUCGGCCUCGCUCAGGCCAGCAUCGGUUUCGGUGGUUGGAUAAAGGCCUUGGGAAUGUGACUUCUUUCGGGGAGUGUUAUAGCCCUCGGUGCAAUGCAGCCUACCGGGACCGAGGACCGCGCUUCGGCUAGGAUGCUGGCGUAAUGGUUGUAAGCGACCCGUCUUGAAACACGGACCAAGGAGUCUAACAUCUAUGCGAGUGUUUGGGUGUCAAACCCAUACGCGUAAUGAAAGUGAACGGAGGUGAGAACCCUUAAGGGUGCAUCAUCGACCGAUCCUGAUGUCUUCGGAUGGAUUUGAGUAAGAGCAUAGCUGUUGGGACCCGAAAGAUGGUGAACUAUGCCUGAAUAGGGUGAAGCCAGAGGAAACUCUGGUGGAGGCUCGCAGCGGUUCUGACGUGCAAAUCGAUCGUCAAAUUUGGGCAUAGGGGCGAAAGACUAAUCGAACCAUCUAGUAGCUUGCU
rnacentral:rRNA from 1 species